rnacentral:rRNA from 1 species
GACGAAUGCUGGCGGCGUGCUUAACACAUGCAAGUCGAACGGAAAGGCCCUGCUUGCCGGGUACUCGAGUGGCGAACGGGUGGGUAACACGUGGGUGAUCUGCCCUACACUUCGGGAUAAGCCUGGAAAACUGGGUCUAAUACCGGAUAGGAGCCAUUUUGAGUUCGGUGGUUGGAAAGUUUUUUCGGUGUAGGAUGAGCUCGCGGCCUAUCAGCUUGUUGGUGGGGUAAUGGACUACCAAGGCGGCGACGGGUCGCCGGCCUGAGAGGGUGGACGGCCACACUGGGACUGAGAUACGGCCCAGACUCCUACGGGAGGCAACAGUGGGGAGUAUUGCACAAUGGGCGCAAGCCUGAUGCAGCGACGCCGCGUGGGGGAUGACGGCCUUCGGGUUGUAAACUCCUUUCGCUAGGGACGAAGCUUUUGUGACGGUACCUAGAUAAGAAGCACCGGCUAACUACGUG